rnacentral:lncRNA from 1 species
GAGGCAGCACCCUGCUUGGUCCUUUUGGGGCCAGACACAAGGCCCUUGGGACAACACAGUGGGGACCAAAGCCUCGCUCUGAUGCCUCCUGUGGCCCCCACCAUUGCCCUCUGUGGGGGUUCCAGCAAGUGGAGCCUGUGAGUCCUGGGCCAGCCUGUGCCACAAAGUGAGACCCUGUCUGAAUGUUUACAGGGGUGUGUACUGGGUGUUUAUGCCACAGCUGUUCCUGGAUGGCAUCUGGCUGCACAGCUGCACUCGAACUCAGGACCCUCCUUCCCCAGCUGCGGUGCCUGACAGGUCUGCGGCAUCUGGUUGCAGCUGUAUCGAUCGUCUGGCGACACCUGCUGGAAAUUGACGGAAUGACAGGCGCUGCC